CAGUCGCCGCGGUAAUACGUAGGUCCCGAGCGUUGUCCGGAUUUAUUGGGCGUAAAGGGAGCGCAGGCGGUUCAGUAAGUCUGAAGUUAAAGGCAUUGGCUCAACCAAUGUAUGCUUUGGGAACUGUUAGACUUGAGUGCAGAAGGGGAGAGUGGAAUUCCAUGUGUAGCGGUGAAAUGCGUAGAUAUAUGGAGGAACACCGGUGGCGAAAGCGGCUCUCUGGUCUGUCACUGACGCUGAGGCUCGAAAGCGUGGGUAGCGAACAGGAUUAGAGACCCCCGUAGUCCCUGUCUCUUAUACA
rnacentral:rRNA from 1 species